CAGAGGUCUCAAGCGUUGUUCGGAUUCAUUGGGCGUAAAGGGUGCGUAGGUGGCGCGGUAAGUCGGGUGUGAAAUCUCGGAGCUUAACUCCGAAAUUGCAUUCGAUACUGCCGUGCUCGAGGACUGGAGAGGAGACUGGAAUUCAUGGUGUAGCAGUGAAAUGCGUAGAGAUCAUGAGGAAGACCAGUGGCGAGGGCGGGUCUCUGGACAGUUCCUGACACUGAGGCACGAAGGCCAGGGGAGCAAACGGGAUUAGAUACCCCGGUAGUCCUGGCAGUAAACGGUGCACGUUUGGUGUGGGAGGAUUCGACCCCUUCCGCGCCGGAGCUAACGCGUUAAACGUGCCGCCUGGGGAGUACGGUCGCAAGAUUA
rnacentral:rRNA from 1 species